GGCCUGAGCUUUCCUGCUAUCAGUUGAUUGGAAAUUCCACCUAAAUGUGUCCUUGCCUUAUCCUGUUCUGAUGUACGUGUCUUCUGAUCAAGGGACACCAGGAGACAGACAGCAGGUGAUGGGCAUGCCAAAGAGAAAAAGAAGUCUUCACACAACCAGUGGCUCAAAUCCCCAAAGUGGAACUGCAAGGUCAAAAGGAUCUUUAGUGAAACAUGUGGAUGCAGAACAAGAGCAGAAUGAUGUCAACUUGAUCUCGAUGUAUUCACAUGUGAAAUAUCUUAAAAUAUUUUGCUAGCAAAACAAAAGACGCCUACUGUCUUAAUUGGGCACUGACACUUUCUUUAAACAAUAUAGGCAAAUAGUAUAAAGUGAGAACAUCAGCACCAAAAAAACCCAAAACCAAAAUGAAGCAAAACACAAAAAAAUAAACGUAAACCCUAAUUGUGAGUUCGUGAAAUUCUUACUGGUGAGAUGGUAAUGUUUUGUGGUCUGAAUUUCUUCAUGAAUGAAUAGAUAUCCCCUGUGAAACCAUAUCAUCCGCUCACCCGUUCACUCUGUGUUCCUCUUUCCAGUGUUUUCACGUCUUUUCUAUUUGUCUCUGUAAAUUCACUCAUUCUUCCCAAUCUUCUGUUCCUAUACUUUGAAUCUUUUAUCAGUUGAUAAUAACCUUUAUCAAAUAGUAGUUUGCAUUUGUUUAUCCUUGGCUGAUUCAAAGCACUUGGUAUAAUUUCCUUCAAAUCAUCUUUCUCCCAUCUCACAAUACUGCAUUAUUUUCAAUUAAUUCCCAAUAAACUCUUAAUUGUCCG
rnacentral:lncRNA from 1 species